rnacentral:rRNA from 1 species
GACGAACGCUGGCGGCGUGCCUAAUACAUGCAAGUAGAACGCUGAAGAGAGGAGCUUGCUCUUCUUGGAUGAGUUGCGAACGGGUGAGUGACGCGUAGGUAACCUGCCUGGUAGCGGGGGAUAACUAUUGGAAACGAUAGCUAAUACCGCAUAACAACAGUUGUUGCAUGACAGCUGUUUAAAAGAUGCAAUUGCAUCACUACCAGAUGGACCUGCGUUGUAUUAGCUAGUUGGUGAGGUAACGGCUCACCAAGGCGACGAUACAUAGCCGACCUGAGAGGGUGAUCGGCCACACUGGGACUGAGACACGGCCCAGACUCCUACGGGAGGCAGCAGUAGGGAAUCUUCGGCAAUGGGGGGAACCCUGACCGAGCAACGCCGCGUGAGUGAAGAAGGUUUUCGGAUCGUAAAGCUCUGUUGUAAGAGAAGAACGGGUGUGAGAGUGGAAAGUUCACACUGUGACG